AACGAACGCUGGCGGCAUGCCUAACACAUGCAAGUCGAACGAUACCUUCGGGUCUAGUGGCGCACGGGUGCGUAACGCGUGGGAACCUGCCCUUAGGUUCGGAAUAACUCCCCGAAAGGGGUGCUAAUACCGGAUAAUGUCUUCGGACCAAAGAUUUAUCGCCUUUGGAUGGGCCCGCGUUGGAUUAGCUAGUUGGUAGGGUAGAAGCCUACCAAGGCGACGAUCCAUAGCUGGUCUGAGAGGAUGAUCAGCCACACUGGGACUGAGACACGGCCCAGACUCCUACGGGAGGCAGCAGUGGGGAAUAUUGGACAAUGGGCGAAAGCCUGAUACAGCAAUGCCGCGUGAGUGAUGAAGGCCUUAGGGUUGUAAAGCUCUUUUACCCGGGAUGAUAAUGACAUUACCGGGAGAAUAAGCGCCGGCUAACUCCGUG
rnacentral:rRNA from 1 species